GGCAGGUUUAAUUAGCUCAGAGCUUGGCAUAUAAUAGGCACAAAUAAAGUGGUAAUUAAUUAUUACUCUCUUUUUUCAAGUGAGGUGACUGGCUACUUUGACCAAACUCCUUUCUUCUCUCUCCCAUGCUGUGCCCUGGCCUUUCUCUUGCAUCCAGCAAGGUUCAAAAUGCUGCCUUGUGGAUAUAAGCUCACUAGCCCUGAGCCUUCACAUAAGACUUCCUCACUUCAAGCAAGAAUUAUUUAUUAACAAGUGGAAAUCAUUACUUUGGGAUUUUAUUCAUCACAACAUUAUACGGAAAAAAAUAGGCUCCCAAGCUGACUGAAUGUCAUCAUGUGCUUUCCCCACUUUUUCUAAAUUGAGCUCAUCCAUAAAUUUUUAGAAAUAGCAUCUUUAAAACCCACCAACAAAUUUUUCAUGGCAGAGAAUGCCCUUCUUGUUCUGACACAACCAUUUGAAGAUUUUUCCACUCCCUUCCUAAUCAAGAAAGAGAGAGAGAGAAGCAAACAGUGAGAAAACAUUCUGAAACAGGAAUUAGGUUACCCACGAUUUCUUCAAAAUU
rnacentral:lncRNA from 12 species